UAUUUCAGUACAUUUUCUCAAAGAUUAAGAAGAAGCAUGCCUUAUUCUUGAAAAAUUAAAAAGCGUGAUUGAUAUAAAUUUUGAAUAAUUCUAGAUCACUCUACAUUCUUGAUAUCAUAUAAUUUCAGUUUUAUUCACGCUUAUCAUUAAAAUCUGAAAUUCAAUAAAAAAAAUGAUGAUUAAAGAAGAAUGCAUCUUUUGAGGGGGAGCUUUAGACAUAUCAAUCUCUCUUCAUCUUAUUCAAAAGUCACCAUCAUAUGAUGCAUACCUUGAAUAUUUUAUGAAUUUUUUUUGAUAAACCUCCUUGUGGUGCCAUUACUUGUUUUAAUUAUAUAUAGCCCUAUACUUUGUGUUUAAUUCUAUAGAGCGUUUAUUAUCUCAAAUGAGUAUGAUUUGAUACUUGCAAAUAUGCUCUCAAUGGGUUAAGUAGAAAAUAUGCUGAAAUUUGUAGAAAACAUAUUUUCCAGAUUAACAAUUUGAAUGUUUUAUUGAAAAUUAUUUUCAAAUUCUAAACUCUUAAAUGGAAUGCUCAAUUAAGGGGGGAGAAAGAAAAUUUCAGGAGGAGAGAUCAUAUGGAACUUAAUCGCAUAAAUUCAUAACUAAAGGAGAGAAAAAGAAUACUAAAUGAGAAGUGAUCCUAAUACUUUCCAAUAUGUAUCAUCUGAAAUUUAAAUCUGAAAAUCUUUAUGAUACACCUUGAGGCUUGUUAUUUGAUUAGUAUAUCUUAUGCAUCAAUCAUGAACCAAAUUACAAUUCAAACAGUUGAUCU
rnacentral:lncRNA from 1 species